AUGCCUGGUAGUGGUCCUAAGAAUUAUCCUUGUGCACUCUGCAAGAAGCGGACAAAGCCAGAUGAAAGGAGACCAGUGAAUAAAGACACCAGGAAAAUUCUACGAAAAUGUUUCAUGAUAGACUGUGCAGAUGGCGUUUUAUGCAGAAAAUGUCGACACAAGUGUGGUAAUUUAAAACCAACAUCAUCUCGUACAGAGAAGUCAUGUGUCCCACCCUGUGCAACUCCCAUACAGAGUCCUGUGGGAAAAAGUACUGUUACCAGGUUCACCUUUUUCCUAGAGCAGAACAUUUUGAUAUCUUCAGGUGCUCGUUUUUGUCCAGCCCACAUUGUAAAUGACACCAUCAACACAGAGUCAAUAGAAAAUCUGGUUCCACCCAAAGAUACAAGUUUUGUCAACAGGACUACUAUCAUGGAACUUGUUGAACAACUUAGAGAAGAGGCCCUACAUAGGGGAUCCAAGAGAAUAGAUUUUUAUGACCGUUCAUCAUUGUCAGACAGGGACUAUCUCACUUUGACUGGGCUUAGGAAGUGCGACUUUGAUGACUUGCUGUUGCAUGUUCAAUCGGCAGACGUAAGACCAUCAAAGACAAGAACUGUAAGAACUUGCUUAGCAAUUUUUCUGACCAAAAUGAAGACAGCAAUGGACAAUAACAUGCUAGGAGUUUUGUUCAACAUGUCAAAACCUCAGAUAAGGCGAGCUGUAUCUUCUAUAAGACAAGUCCUGUCCAACAAGCCACCUCUUAGCAGUGGAGAUGAAGAGAAUGACUUGCAGACAGCUGCAAAGAUGCGUCACCUCUCUACACAGACUAAUCUGCUGCAGACUGAGGUGAUAAGGACAUAUUCGAAAGAAAUCCCGUACAUUCACACAAUCGACGUGGACACAGAGAAAGAAGGAACAAGCCCAGAUGAUUGUGGAGAAUCGUUUAGCAAAGGAAAUCUAGCCACUUCACUUUCAGAUAACAAAUCGUUUAGGAAGCAGUUGAAUUAUUCACACGAUUCUGUUGCUUCAGAGGACCCUUACGACUUUAAUUUGUUCACCGAACAUGAAACUUCUUUACGAUUACGUCCUCCAAUUUUUUCAAGCACUCCGAAAAAGGCUACGAGAUCGGAAUCUGAAGUUGCUUCAGACAAAGAUGUGGACAUUUCAUGUGAUAGUUCAAAUCUGACAAUAUCCAGUUUUGAAUCAGAUGGCACACACUCUAAGAUUCAUGCUGAUGUUGAUGAACUUUCAUGUAUAGCUACACCAAAGAUCCAUUCAAAAGCAUCCCCUGAAGGAAGAUCAUCUACAAUUCUGCUUGAUAAGUAUACGAAACCACAGUCAAUCCACAGUGCCAUGAGAAUAAAUUGUUGUGAUAAAAAGUGCCUAGAAUUGUUUUCCUACACCGAUAUAAAGAACAACAGAACCUCCUUUUGGAGCAAAUCUGUCCAAAAUCAAAAUACAUACGUCUUAGAGAAGUUCCGAUGUGGUAUAAAUACAAAUGGGAAGUGGAGUUUUGUUGAAGCUGGAAAAAGGAUUUGUGCUAAAGCAUUCAAAGGUCUGUUAAAGAUAAACAAAAACAGAUUUCAUAAACUCAGGAAGAGGUUUGGUACAGGCUACAUAAGUUGUGAACCAAACAAUAGAUUAAGGUCUGUAAAAUACCUGGAAGCUAUGAGCUGGCUGGAAACGUACGCUUUUUAUAGAGCUGAUGACUCGCCUGAUUCUUCUAAAAAGUUGCUUCCAUAUAAAACAAGGAAGAUAUCAGUGUAUAGGAGCUACGUUGAUGAAAGAAAGGAAAUGAACAUGGCGAAAAUAAAAAGAUCUACAUUUUUCAAGAUGUGGAAUAAAGAUUUUCCUGACUUGCGAAUAAAAACAGUAAGUAUUCAUUUUGAUGUUAAGAAGCAUUAA
rnacentral:sRNA from 1 species